UACGUAGGUGGCAAGCGUUAUCCGGAUUUAUUGGGUGUAAAGGGCGUGUAGGCGGGAGCGCAAGUCAGAUGUGAAAACUCAGGGCUCAACCCUGAGCCUGCAUUUGAAACUGCGUUUCUUGAGUGCUGGAGAGGCAAUCGGAAUUCCGUGUGUAGCGGUGAAAUGCGUAGAUAUACGGAGGAACACCAGUGGCGAAGGCGGAUUGCUGGACAGUAACUGACGCUGAGGCGCGAAAGCGUGGGGAGCAAACAGG
rnacentral:rRNA from 1 species